ensembl:snRNA U6 U6 spliceosomal RNA
UUGCUUCAGCAGCAUGUAUACUAAAAUUGGAAUGAUAUAGAGAAGAUAAGCAUGGCCCCUGCACAAGGAUGACACACAAAUUCAUGAAGCAUCCCAUAUUUUA